rnacentral:tRNA from 1 species
GGUGGCUCAGUGGUAGAGUGCUUGCCUCGCAUGCAUGAAGCCCUAGGUUCGAUUCCUCAGCACCA